CCCGUGGCGCGCCGGCGCCUGCGCAGUUGCCCCAGAGCGCCCCGACCGGGAUGGCGGCCGUUUUGGAGUCGCUUCUGCGAGAGGAGGUGUCGGUCGCAGCCGCCGUGCGGUGGAUCGCGCGCAGCACCCAGAGUUCGGAGGAGAGCCCGGGGGAGGCGGCCGUGCUGAACUCACUCCGGCCCCUACGGAAGGAAUUUGUGCCGUUCCUGCUCAACUUCCUGAGGGAGCAGAGUAGCCGCGUCCUCCCGCAGGGCCCCCCAACCCCAGCCAAGGCUCCAGGAGCCUCAGCAGCCUUGCCAGGGAGGCCGGGGGGCCAGCCGCGGGGUGGCCGCGGGGCGCGCAGCCAGCUCUUUCCUACGACUGAGCCCUCGAGCACCGCCGCUGAGGCCCCUCUGACCCGCCGCGGGGGCAGGAGGCGGGGUCCGGGGCCGGCCCGGGAGAGAGGAGGCCGUGCCCCCGGGGUCCCAGAGGAGGGGGUCGGCGGGGAGAGCCUGUCCUGGCCCGGAGGCCGGAGGCUUAAGGGCUCUGGUAGCCCCAGUAUCCCCAGCCUCACGCUCUCUGAUCCACCAAACCUCAGCAACCUGGAGGAGUUCCCUCCCGUAGGCUCGGUUCCCCCCGGCCCUGCAGGCAGGACGAAGCCUUCACGCAGGAUCAACCCAACUCCGGUGAGCGAAGAGCGGUCACUCUCCAAGCCCAAGAUCUGCUUCACCUCACCCCCAAUCAGCUGUGUCCCCAGUUCCCAACCCUCAACCCUGGACACUAGCCCUUGGGGCCUUGGCCUUCCCCCAGGGUGCAGAAGUCUGCGAGAGGAGCGGGAGAUGCUCAGGAAGGAGCGUUCUAAACAGCUGCAGCAGUCACCUACCCCUGCCUCUCCCACCCCAGAAUUGGGAACUUCCCUCCCCAGCCGGACUGGAAGCCUCACUGCAGAACCUGCUGACCCUGCCAGAGUGUCUUCCCCCCAGCGCCUGGAGCUGGUAGCCCUUGUCUACUCCUCGUGCAUUGCUGAGAACCUGGUCCCAAACCUCUUCUUGGAGCUUUUCUUCGUCUUUCAGCUCCUUACUGCCCGAAGGAUGGUGGCUGCCAAGAACAGUGAUCUUGAACUGAGUCAAGAUUCCCUGGAAAGCCCACUAUUCCAGAGCAUCCAUGAUUGUGUGUUCUUUGCAGUGCAGGUUUUACAGCACCAAUUUCAGGUUCUUUCCUCCUUGGACAAAGGGACCUUAAAGCUGCUGGCUGAGAAUGAACGGCUACUGUGCUUCUCACCAGCUCUUCAAGGCCGACUUCGAGCUGCUUACGAGGGCAGUGUUGCCAAGGUCUCUCUGGCAAUGCCACCCUCGGCUCAAGCUGUCUCCUUUCAGCCAGAAACUGACAAUCGUGCCAACUUCUCCAGUGACCGAGCCUUUCAUACUUUUAAAAAACAGAGAGAUGUGUUCUAUGAGGUUCUUCGAGAGUGGGAAGAUCGCCAUGAGGAGCCUGGCUGGGAUUUUGAGAAGGGCUUGGGCAGUAGGAUCAGAGCCAUGAUGGGUCAACUGUCUGCGGCCUGCAGCCAUAGCCACUUUGUACGGCUUUUCCAAAAACAACUUCUCCAGAUGUGUCAGAGCCCUGGUGGUGCUGGGGGCACUGUCUUGGGUGAGGCCCCAGAUGUGUUGAGUAUGCUAGGAGCUGACAAGCUGGGGCGGCUGCGGCGACUACAGGAACGACUUGUGGCUCCUCAGAGCAGUGGGGGGCCCUGUCCACCCCCCACCUUUCCAGGCUGUCAAGGCUUCUUCAGGGACUUCAUCCUAAGUGCCAGCAGCUUCCAGUUUAAUCAACAUCUCAUGGAUAGUCUGAGCUUGAAGAUACGGGAACUUAAUGGCCUUGCCCUGCCUCAACAUGAGCCUGGUGAUGAAGAUGGAGAGUCAGAUGUAGACUGGCAGGGUGCACGGAGGCAAUUUGCUGUGGUGCUUCUUAGCCUCAGACUUUUGGCCAAGUUUCUGGGCUUUGUGGCUUUCUUGCCAUACCGGGGCCCUGAACCACCCCCAACCCGUGAGCUUCAAGAUUCCAUUCUGGCCCUCAGGAGCCAGGUCCCUCCUGUCCUGGAUGUUCAAGCUCUGCUGCAGCAGGGGCUGAGGGCCCGCCGGGCAGUGCUCACUGUGCCCUGGCUGGUGGAGUUCCUUUCCUUUGCUGAUCACAUUGUCCCCUUGCUGGACUAUUACCGGAGCAUCUUUACUCUCCUGCUGCAUGUACAUCGGAGCUUGGUCUUAUCUCAGGACAAUGAAGGGGAGAUGUGUUUCCUAAACAAGCUGCUUCUGCUUGCUGUCCUGGGCUGGCUCUUCCAGAUUCCCACAUUCCCUGAGGAUCUAUUUUUUCUGGAAGAAGGUCAAGUGGAUGCAUUAGAGGUGGACACAGCAGCUUCAGAGCAUGGCUUGGACAGUGUGCCUGUGGUGGAUCAGCAGCUGCUCUACAUCUGCUGCCCCUACAUCGGAGAGCUCCGGAAACUGCUCGCUUCAUGGGUUUCAGGCAGUAGUGGACGGAGUGGGGGCUUCGUGAGGAAAAUCACCCCCACUACCACUACUGGCCUGGGAGCCCAGGCUCCCCAGACCAGCCAGGGGCUGCAGGCACAGCUUGCCCAGGCCUUUUUCCACAACCAGCCACCUUCCCUGCGCAGGACUGUGGAGUUUGUGGCAGAGAGAAUUGGCUCAAACUGUGUCAAACACAUCAAGGCGACGCUGGUGGCAGAUCUGGUGCGCCAGGCAGAGUCACUUCUUCAGGAGCAGCGGGUGACACAGGGACAGAAAGGGGGAGAUCCAGCCCAGUUGUUGGAGAUCUUGUGUUCCCAGCUGUGUCCCCAUGGGACCCAGGCAUUGAGCCAGGGGCGGGAGUUCUGCCAAAGGAAGAGCCCUGGGGCUGUGCGGGCACUGCUUCCAGAGGAGACCCCAGCAGCUGUACUAAGCAGUGCAGAGAACAUAGCUGUGGGGCUUGCAACAGAAAAAGCAUGUGCCUGGCUGUCGGCCAACAUUACAGCACUGAUUAGGAGGGAGGUGAAAGCGGCUGUGAGUCGCACACUUCGAGCCCAGGGUCCUGAACCGGCUGCCCGGGGGGAGCGGAGGGGCUGCUCCCGCGCCUGUGAGCACCACGCUCCCCUCCCCUCCCACCUCAUCUCCGAGAUAAAAGAUGUGCUCUCUCUGGCUGCUGGGCCCCGAGACCCUGAUGAGGGUGUUUCCCCAGAGCAUCUGGAGCAGCUCCUAGGCCAGAUGGGCCAGACACUACGGUGCCGUCAGUUCCUGUGCCCACCUGCUGAGCAGCAUCUGGCAAAGUGCUCUGUGGAGUUAGCUUCCCUCCUGGUUGCAGACCAGAUCCCUGUCCUAGGGCCUCCACCACAGCACAGGCUGGAGCGAGGGCAGGCUCGAAGGCUUCUGCACAUGCUGCUUUCCCUGUGGAAAGAUGACUUCCAAGGUCCAGUUCCACUACAGCUGCUACUGAGCCCAAGAAAUGUGGGGCUUCUGGCAGAUACUCGGCCAAGGGAGUGGGACCUGCUGCUGUUCUUACUUCGGGAGCUGGUAGAGAAAGGUCUGAUGGGACGGAUGGAGAUAGAAGCCUGCCUAGGCAGCCUUCAUGAGGCCCAGUGGCCUGGGGACUUCUCUGAAGAACUAGCAACACUGUUUAACCUGUUUCUAGCUGAGCCUCACAUGCCAGAACCUCAGCGGAGAACUUGUGAACUGGUACAGCCAAAUAGGGGGACAGUGCUGGCCCAAAGCUAGGGCUGGGAAGUGGCCCUGUUUUGGGCGUCUCACCAGAACCCUGGAAUCCUGCCUAUGCCUCAGGUGGAGCCCCAAUAGCCCUCGGCAACCCUUGCUGGGGUAGGAGUAGCUGGGUCUGUGAUCAGAUUUCCUGCUCAGGUGAGAAGUAUGUGGUUACUGGGCAUCCCACAGACUGCAGGCUUGCCACCCGAAUCCUAGAGGAAGAAACAGCCACUAAUUCAGCAUGAAGGUGGAAAAGCUGAGACUCUAACCCAGGAGCUGAAGAGCUGACAUUUGCCACAUGGAUGCGAAAUGAAAUGAGGAGUGUGGGCUGGUCAAUACAGGAUUCAGACCUCACUUGCUGCUAUCUCAGAUCUCUCAAAACUUUGUGGUUCUGAGAAAUCAUGACAGAGUUGAAUGACUUCUGCCUAACUUGUUAAAACCUGGACUGCCAUGUUAAAUAUGCACAACAGAUUAGGUAGGACUUGCCCAACUGAAACCUGGCAUCACCCUGGACUUCACCCCUGUGCAGGUGGGCCUUGAGUUGGGAGUUAUGACCUCUAAGUAACACCUGCAUAUCCAAGCAGCAAGAUCAUCUCACACCCCUGAAAUGCAGUAUCAUCUCCUGUGCAACUCCCUCGGAAAGUUUAGACAUUUAGGGCAUUGUGCAGGUUCCAUUCACAAGAUGUUCCGUUGCACCACAUGGUGAGGCAGCUUUUGCGAUGUUUUGUUAGGGCUAUAGUGUCUGAUUUGGCUCAGAAUGUCUCAGAGCACGAGCAGCCUAAUAUAAUUAUAAACUUUUAUAAUUGUAAAAGUUCAUUUUAUAA